CUGAUGGAAGCAGGAAGGAGGGGAGGGUUUCUUUCUUCCAGAAGCAAACAAUCAUUGACUAGGAGCUACAUGGCCCUCCACAGAUGUCGCUGCCGAUGCUUUUCUUCACCAACAUCCCAGGUGGCCUGUACCCCUCCAAGAGCACCGUCAUCUUGGGAACAGUCCUGCCCAGUGCUCAGUGGUUCCACAUCAACCUGCGCUCUGGGAGUGACAUCGCCUUCCACCUGAAAUCCCUUUUCAAAGAGAACAUCGUGGUCUGCCACACGUAGAUCAACAGCUCUUGGGGACAUGUGGAGAAAAGCCUGUCUGGAAAAAUGCCCUUCACCGGACGCCAGAGCUUCUCGAGACUACCCUAUAACACCUGCCAGAACACCUCUUGUCCUCGCUAUAUCCCAGAAAGUUCUCUCUGCUGCACCAAGUCAGAACCAUCUGCUCCAGCAGAGGCCAUGGACCUGCUUGAAUGGAACAGCAUGUAAAGAUCCAAUGCCAGGGCACAGAGGUAAUUAAGGAACUUUGGAUGUGAAACACUGAGUCAAAGACAGAGUCAUCGUCUGCCAAAUGCUCCCUCUGCCUACUGCUUUCUGGGACAGUCAGGAC
rnacentral:lncRNA from 1 species